rfam:Aedes albopictus isolate Foshan contig135418, whole genome shotgun sequence.
UUCAGUGGCUUAGUUGGUUUAAGCGCCGGUCUAGCGAACACGGAGUCGUGGGUUUGUAUCCCACCCGAA